GGCGUCGUGGCCGAGUGGUUAGGCAGCGGAUUGCAAAUCCGUGUACAGCGGUUCGACUCCGCUCGACGCCU
rnacentral:tRNA from 1 species